GACGAACGCUGGCGGCGUGCUUAACACAUGCAAGUCGAACAGUAAGGCCCUUCGGGGUACACGAGUGGCGAACGGGUGAGUAACACGUGGGUGAUCUGCCCUGCACUUCGGGAUAAGCCUGGGAAACUGGGUCUAAUACCGGAUAGGACCACUGCCUGCAUGGGUGGUGGUGGAAAGCUUUUGCGGUGUGGGAUGGGCCCGCGGCCUAUCAGCUUGUUGGUGGGGUGAUGGCCUACCAAGGCGACGACGGGUAGCCGGCCUGAGAGGGUGACCGGCCACACUGGGACUGGGAUACGGCCCAGACUCCUACGGGAGACAGCAGUGGGGAAUAUUGCACAAUGGGCGCAAGCCUGAUGCAGCGACGCCGCGUGAGGGAUGACGGCCUUCGGGUUGUAAACCUCUUUCAGCACCGACGAAGCGCAAGUGACGGUAGGUGCAGAAGAAGGACCGGCCAACUACGUGCCAGCCGCCGCCGUAA
rnacentral:rRNA from 1 species